rnacentral:rRNA from 1 species
CCUACGGGCGGCAGCAGUGGGGAAUAUUGCACAAUGGGGGAAACUCUGAUGCAGCAACGCCGCGUGAGUGAAGAAGUACUUCGGUAUGUAAAGCUCUGUCAGCAGGGAAGAAAAUGACGGUACCUGAGUAAGAAGCCCCGGCUAACUACGUGCCAGCAGCCGCGGUAAUACGUAGGGGGCAAGCGUUAUCCGGAUUUACUGGGUGUAAAGGGAGCGUAGACGGCAAGGCAAGUCUGGAGUGAAAGCCCGCGGCCCAACCCCGGGACUGCUUUGGAAACUGUGCUGCUGGAGUGCAGGAGGGGUAAGCGGAAUUCCUAGUGUAGCGGUGAAAUGCGUAGAUAUUAGGAGGAACACCGGUGGCGAAGGCGGCUUACUGGACUGUAACUGACGUUGAGGCUCGAAGGCGUGGGGAGCAAACAGGAUUAGAUACCCGAGUAGUC